UGCGCAGGCGGUUAUAUAAGUCAGAUGUGAAAUCCCCGGGCUCAACCUGGAAACUGCAUUUGAGACUGUAUGGCUAGAGUGUGUCAGAGGGGGGUAGAAUUCCACGUGUAGCAGUGAAAUGCGUAGAUAUGUGGAGGAAUACCGAUGGCGAAGGCAGCCCCCUGGGAUAACACUGACGCUCAUGCACGAAAGCGUGGGGAGCAAACAGGAUUAGAUACCCUGGUAGUCCACGCCCUAAACGAUGUCAACUAGUUGUCGGGACUUAAUUGUCUUGGUAACGCAGCUAACGCGUGAAGUUGACCGCCUGGGGAGUACGGUCGCAAGAUUAAA
rnacentral:rRNA from 1 species